UCGAAAUUUUCCAACUGCGAUAUGCUGGUAUGUAUAAAGAAAUUUAAUAUUUCUUAAUGUUAUCAUGAAAACAGAUAUUAUAAUCGUUCAUUAUCAUGUAUAAUAUUAUUCUUAUCGGUAUUAUUAUUGUUAUUUUUUACUGUUAGCCUGCUAGACACACCCACGGUCCAGUGAUGAGUGAAGGAUAAGAGAUGAUACAGUUUCACUGAAAGCGUGGGGACGCAAAGUGGCAGGGGCAGUAGCAAAAUUUAAUACAGCACAGACAUUUAAAUUGAUAGUUUUUUUUUCUAAGGAGGUGGGCAGUAGUUGACAGGACAAUCUUUUGGAUUUCUCUGAGAGAUGGUUUUCCUGGGAACUUAUCUUGAUAUUUCUGACAUCUCUUUUUUAACAUACCGAGGGCACCCGCAGCAUCUAUUGCCAGGUCCUUAUAUUUACUUAAUUUGACAAAUUCCUUUACGGAUAUAUUUUUAUCAGUGGGAAUACUUACAUCUGUUAGUCUACAAGUGUUUUCUUCCCUGUCUUAAAUAUUUAUGUCUGGUCGAUUAGCCUGGAUCGUUCUGUCAGUGUUGACUGAAAAAUCCAAGCGCAUAAUGAUAUUUUUACCUUCAACGACUUGCUCCAAAGUGAUGUUCAUACCAGUAAGCAGGAGUGCAGAUUUUGUAGUGUUUACAUAUUUUCCAAUGUAAAUACUGUCCUACCAUAUCGUGGGUUCUUUUUUUGUAUUCGUUUGGCGUCAGCAAAGGUCAUCCCGAGGCAAGAUGGUGUACUGUUUCAUCAAAUGUGUCACACAAUCCUCAUUUACGAUCAGAACCGUUUUGAAGAAGGUUAACCUGGUAGUUUUUGUAAGCAAGCUUUGAUCUUGAGCCGCCAAAAUGAAACCACCAGUCUUUGAUUUGACCCCUGAACUUCUCGUCUACUGAUGGAUUGUUACUCAGUCCAUAUCAGCAUUUCAUCUCCAAAUUAUUAAACGGCGGCAUAGCCAAGUGGAAUACACGUCUCCUAAACUAUAGUAAUGGAAUGAACCAAUCUAACAGCAUCAACAUCAAACGGGGCAUCUUUCAAGGUGAUUCCCUUCCCCCGUUAAUCUUUUGCAUGGCACUGAUUCCACUCAAAAACGAACUGAGUAACACCAGGGAUGGGUUCAAAGUGUAUAAUAUUAUAGUAAACGAUGUGUUUUAUAUGGAUGAUCUGAAGCUGUUUUCAAGAAAUGGCGAAGAACUAGUAGGGCUGUUAACAACAGUUAAAGAGUUCGGCAAUGACAUCGGGUUCGAUUUUGUCCUUGAUCAGCGUUCUACAGCAACCUUUAUAAGUGGCAAGUUCAAGCAAACAACUUCAAUUAAAUAACAUAGCGAAACUACCAUCAAGGAAUUUAACGCACAAGAAAGCUAUUAUUACUCGGGGAUAAACGAAGAUGAUCCACAACAUGAUGCAUUGAAAGAAGAAGAUAAGACAGAAGUAUUACAGGAGAGUAAGACUCAUACUAAAAACUGAAGUCAACUCCGAAAAUCUCAUCGAAGGCAUUAACACCCUGGCACUUCCAGUAGUUCGAUACAGUUUUAAUAUCAUUAAGUGGAGUGUCACAGAGUUGCAACGCCUGGAGAGAAAGACAAGAAAACUACUAACAUCUAAGAACAUGCACCACUGAAAAGUAGACGUUGAUCGUCUGUACCUACCUAGAAGUAAUGAAGGACGUGGAAGGAUGCAGGUAGGACAGUGCUAUAAGACCUCUACAGUAACAAUGAACAAUUGCAUAUCUGGUACAAAGGACUGGUUGCUGUGGUUUGUGUGCAAACACGAAAGCAAAAGAAUCGUAUUCUAUCGUCAAGGAAGCUUGCAAAUUCGCCUGUGAACUCGGUAUUGGCCCUGAAUUAGAUGAAGAACCUGAAACCACUUUCAUCAAACAAGCAAAACGGAUCAAACUGUCAGAAAAACGGGAAAAAACAAAUUGAGGUGCGGUAGAGCCAGAAGCUUCUGCAUGGACAGUAUAUACUUCCAGGCCGAACUGCUGAGUUAGACCAAGCAACGACCCAUCAGUGGCUGAGAAGCGCUCAGGACUGAAAGCAGGGAAUGAAGUUUUCAUAUUGGCAGCACAAGAUCAAAGCUUGCUUACAAAAACCUCCCACGAAAUGCACAUUCUGCAAUACAGUUUACGAAACAACAGACCAUCUCGUCUCCAGAUGUCCUGUGCUGACAACAAACGAAUGCUAAAGUUGGUAAGGUAGGACUGUACUUACAUUGGAAAAUAUGCAAACACUACAAAAUCAGGACUCCUGCCUCCUGGUAUGAACAUCAUCCUUGGUUAGUCGCUGAAGGUAAAUAUGACAGUAUCUUCUUGGAUUUUCCAGUCACCAACACAUUCAGUGGUUUUAGAUGUCGACACAGUUAUAAAAGUAACCACAAUUGGUACAAUCUUACAAAUACCUCGGAACCAGAAUAUGGGCGAAAUAAAGACGAUUGACAGGAAAAUCCGUAAGCUGCUGACUUGUAUUAAUAUGCACCACCCAAAGAAAGACGUAGAUCGUCUUUACCUACCCAGAGCUCAAGAAAUUUGAGGCUUCAUUCAGUUUGAAAUCUCUUACAAAUCCAUCACAAUUGAACUGGCAAAAUAUCUCAAAAUAUCUGACAAGUGGAUUCUCAAGAUCGCUGAUAAUUACAAGAGAGGCUAGGAGCAUCAUUCUGUCAUGAAGGAGAGCAAAUUCUUUUCUGUAGCAAACUAGUUGAUGAAGACCAGAAGCACACGCAUCAGCGACUAUGGAGCUCAGGGCUAAAGGCAGAGAAUGAUGGCAUUAUUUUAGCUGCUCAAGAUCAGAGUUUAUUGACCCAGAACUAUCAAGCCAACGUAAUGAAAGUUGGCGUAGACACAAAGUGCCGAUACUGUAACGAUGAGAUUGAAACAGUGGAUGUCUUAACGUUUAGGUGUAGUGUUUUAGCACCUGUAGAGUACAAAUCAAGACAUUACAGAGUUGGCCGAUAUCUACUUUGGGUAAUGUGUCGGCAUUAUGAAAUCAACACUGAUGACAAAUGUUUCAAGCACCACUGUUAGGCUGUUAGAGAGGGAGAAACUGUAACGAUUCUUUGAGAUUUCCCAGUAUGUACAGACAGGACUAUCAAAGCAAAUAAACCAGAUACUGUUGUGAAAGACCAAAACAAUAAAGUUUGUUUAUUGAUUGACAUGAACAUAGACUGGUGACCAUAAUAUCUCAGCAAAAGAAUUUGUCAGUGGAAAUCGAAAAGCUGUGGCAUUUCCAGACGGUUAUAAUACAGGUUAUUGUAGGAGCACGUAGAAUGAUAAAAAAAACGGAACUGAAAAUUAUUUGUGAAGGAUCCCUGGGUGACCAUCCAUGCAAAAGAUUGACUUCACAGGCAUGUGACACGUACUGAAAAGAGCAUUGUUGCUGUGAAUGUUUUUUUCCUUUUGCCCCUUUAUUUUCAUGGUUUACAAUUUUAUUUUUUGUUUUCCUUAUUUUCUCUGUCUUUUCCCCCUUUUUUUCUGUCACAUGACUUUGUAGAUGAACAACAUGGCGUGUUUAUUUUAAUGGCCUACCAAUGUAUACAAUGCGUUUCUUUGCCCCAGGUAUCUGGAAAACACCACUAUAGGGUCCAGGCUCCAAACUUUUCGUUAGUGGUGAAUCGAUUUCGUUUCCCCCUGUACUCAAAUGAUAUUUUAUUGUAUGGACCACGGAAUUGGUAAAAUGGAUGUCAUAGGAGUCCUGGGUGUAAUCCCGGGAAAUGUCAGUAAUCGUUUUAUGCACCCUGGUAGGGAUUCUGAUAGCUAGCUGCCUUACCAACAACCAUAUACAUAAUACACACAUAAUAUACUUCACAUAAUGCGCUCCACACAUGACACUCUACAUGCACAUCACGCUCUAUACUUAACACUCCAUACGUCACGCACAAAAUGCACAACAAACAAUAUACAUAUACCAAUCCACACAUAAUAUCCUUCGUGCAUAACACGCACCGCACACAACUAAAAGCCACACUAAAUAAUUUUUAUUUAACUUUUAUAUUUGACAUAACCAUUGCUCUUUCUUGAAAACAUGAUUGUCUCAUUUAUUCUUUUGUCUUUCUUUUUAGGGCUCGAUGCGGUUGCUUUGCAGGAUUUUUCUGGAUAAGAUUUAACGUAACGCCCCUAUGCAACCUACGUUUUUAAGAUAUCGAUCAUGGAACCAAAUAAACAAUCAACAUGAAUUUGUUAAAUGGGGAAUUCAUUCUCUUUAUUCUUCUUAUUCUUUUAAUGGUUUUUCAAACCUUUUAUCACAAUUUCUUUUACAUGUAGCUUAUUGUCAAAUUUCGCGCAAAACUACGUUUAAACAACACAAGCAGAU
rnacentral:lncRNA from 1 species